ACUCUGACCAANGGAUGUCUUGGCUCCUUACACGAUGAAGAACGUUGCAUAAUGUGAUAAGUAACNGGAGUUGCGAACAUUGUGACAAGUUAAUCUUUGAAUGCAAAUUGCGCGUGCCUUUACUCUCGGGUAUUGGCUGCAUGUAUGUCACAGUAC
rnacentral:rRNA from 1 species